rnacentral:lncRNA from 1 species
UGUGUGCAAGGUGACCAGCUUCUAGCAGUGAGUGAGCCCCUGGAUACCAUUUCAAAAUGAUGGAUUAUGAUAUGAGUCCUUCAAUGUUUGAUGCUAGAAGAAAUCCAGCUUUUUUAACAGAGAGAUAUGUGCUGAAGCUAUGUACAAAAGAGCCAACAAAUCCAUUGAUCUGGGGCUUUCUUUAGGCUGCACUAAUAUGGAGAACAUGAGUUUACACACUCCCAGGAAAAGUAGAGAAUCAACAUUUCUUGAAAUAGUGUUACCUAGUAACAGAAGACACAAGGCUCCCUCUUAUGAUCCAAUGAUUUUUACCACAAGGGAGAUGCCUCUGUGCAGACUAAGGUGCAAGUGAGACCAUACGCUGAAGUCAAUAGUGCAGAUUUUACUCCACAAGAAACGUGAGACAGAGAUAGAGAGAAAUAAAAAAGAAGGAGAGAGG